rnacentral:rRNA from 1 species
AAAUUGAAGAGUUUGAUCAUGGCUCAGAUUGAACGCUGGCGGCAGGCCUAACACAUGCAAGUCGAACGGUAACAGGAAACAGCUUGCUGUUUCGCUGACGAGUGGCGGACGGGUGAGUAAUGUCUGGGAAACUGCCUGAUGGAGGGGGAUAACUACUGGAAACGGUAGCUAAUACCGCAUAAUGUCGCAAGACUAAAGAGGGGGACCUUCGGGCCUCUUGCCAUCGGAUGUGCCCAGAUGGGAUUAGCUAGUAGGUGGGGUAACGGCUCACCUAGGCGACGAUCCCUAGCUGGUCUGAGAGGAUGACCAGCCACACUGGAACUGAGACACGGUCCAGACUCCUACGGGAGGCAGCAGUGGGGAAUAUUGCACAAUGGGCGCAAGCCUGAUGCAGCCAUGCCGCGUGUAUGAAGAAGGCCUUCGGGUUGUAAAGUACUUUCAGCGGGGAGGAAGGGAGUAAAGUUAAUACCUUUACUCAUUGACGUUACCCGCAGAAGAAGCACCGGCUAACUCCGUGCCAGCAGCCGCGGUAAUACGGAGGGUGCAAGCGUUAAUCGGAAUUACUGGGCGUAAAGCGCACGCAGGCGGUUUGUUAAGUCAGAUGUGAAAUCCCCGGGCUCAACCUGGGAACUGCAUCUGAUACUGGCAAGCUUGAGUCUCGUAGAGGG